AUUGAACGCUGGCGGCAUGCUUUACACAUGCAAGUCGAACGGCAGCGGGGGUGCUUGCACCUGCCGGCGAGUGGCGAACGGGUGAGUAAUGCAUCGGAACGUGUCCUUUAGUGGGGAAUAACGCAUCGAAAGAUGUGCUAAUACCGCGUAGUCUCUGAGGAGUAAAGCAGGGGAUCGAAAGACCUUGCGCUUAAGGAGCGGCCGAUGUCUGAUUAGCUAGUUGGUAGGGUAAAGGCCUACCAAGGCGACGAUCAGUAGUUGGUCUGAGAGGACGACCAACCACACUGGGACUGAGACACGGCCCAGACUCCUACGGGAGGCAGCAGUGGGGAAUUUUGGACAAUGGGCGCAAGCCUGAUCCAGCCAUGCCGCGUGAGUGAAGAAGGCCUUCGGGUUGUAAAGCUCUUUCAGUUGGGAAGAAACGAUUGCAACUAAUAAUUGUAAUUAAUGACGGUACCGACAGAAGAAGCACCGGCUAACUACGUGCCAGCAGCCGCGGUAAUACGUAGGGUGCGAGCGUUAAUCGGAAUUACUGGGCGUAAAG
rnacentral:rRNA from 1 species